GACGAACGCUGGCGGCGUGCUUAACACAUGCAAGUCGAACGGAAAGGCCCUGCUUUUGUGGGGUGCUCGAGUGGCGAACGGGUGAGUAACACGUGAGUAACCUGCCCUUGACUUUGGGAUAACUUCAGGAAACUGGGGCUAAUACCGGAUAGGAGCUCCUGCUGCAUGGUGGGGGUUGGAAAGUUUCGGCGGUUGGGGAUGGACUCGCGGCUUAUCAGCUUGUUGGUGGGGUAGUGGCUUACCAAGGCUUUGACGGGUAGCCGGCCUGAGAGGGUGACCGGCCACAUGGGGACUGAGAUACGGCCCAGACUCCGACGGGAGGCAGCAGUGGGGAAUAUGGCACAAUGGGCGGAAGCCUGAUGCAGCAACGCCGCGUGCGGGAUGACGGCCUUCGGGUUGUAACCGCUUUCGCCUGUGACGAAGCGUGAGUGACGGUAAUGGGUAAAGAAGCACCGGCUAACUACGUG
rnacentral:rRNA from 1 species